rnacentral:antisense_RNA from 1 species
ACAUUCUGCCCUGAUUUCCGGAACCUGGAAGCCUAGGCAGGCAGUGGGGAACUCUGACUCGCCUGUGCUCUGGAGCUUGAUCCGAAAGCUUCCACAGUGAGGACUGCUCCGUGGGGGUAAGAGAGCACCAGGCACUGAGGCCUGGGAGUUCCACAGACCAACACCCCUGCUCCUGGCGGCUCCCACCCGGGACUUAGACCCUCAGGUCCCUAAUAUCCCGGAGGUGCUCUCAAUCAGAAAGGUCCUGCUCCGCUUCGCAGUGGAAUGGAACGGAUUUAGAAGCCUGCAGUAGGGGAGUGGGGAGUGGAGAGAGGGAGCCCAGAGUUACAGACGGCGGCGAGAGGAAGGAGGGGCGUCUUUAUUUUUUUAAGGCCCCAAAGAGUCUGAUGUUUACAAGACCAGAAAUGCCACGGCCGCGUCCUGGCAGAGAAAAGGCUGAAAUGGAGGACCGGCGCCUUCCUUAUAAGUAUGCACAUUGGCGAGAGAAGUGCUGCAACCUAAACCAGCAAUUACACCCAAGCUCGUUGGGGCCUAAGCCAGUACCGACCUGGUAGAAAAAGCAACCACGAAGCUAGAGAGAGAGCCAGAGGAGGGAAGAGAGCGCCAGACGAAGGUGAAAGCGAACCACGCAGAGAAAUGCAGGCAAGGGAGCAAGGCGGCAGUUCCCGGAACAAACGUGGCAGAGGGCAAGACGGGCACUCACAGACAGAGGUUUAUGUAUUUUUAUUUUUUAAAAUCUGAUUUGGUGUUCCAUGAGGAAAAGGGAAAAUCUAGGGAACGGGAGUACAGAGAGAAUAAUCCGGGUCCUAGCUCGCCACAUGAACGCCCAGAGAACGCUGGAAAAACCUGAGCGGGUGCCGGGGCAGCACCCGGCUCGGGUCAGCCACUGCCCCACACCGGGCCCACCAAGCCCCGCCCCUCGCGGCCACCGGGGCUUCCUUGCUCUUCUUAUCAUCUCCAUCUUUAUGAUGAGGCUUGUUAACAAGACCAGAGAGCUGGCCAAGCACCUCUAUCUCAGCCGCGCCCGCUCAGCCGAGCAGCGGUCGGUGGGGGGACUGGGAGGCGCUAAUUAAUUGAUUCCUUUGGACUGUAAAAUAUGGCGGCGUCUACACGGAACCCAUGGACUCAUAAACAAUAUAUCUGUUGGGCGUGAGUGCACUGUCUCUCAAAUAAUUUUUCCAUAGGCAAAUGUCAGAGGGUUCUGGAUUUUUAGUUGCUAAGGAAAGAUCCAAAUGGGACCAAUUUUAGGAGGCCCAAACAGAGUCCGUUCAGUGUCAGAAAAUGCUUCCCCAAAGGGGUUGGGAGUGUGUUUUGUUGGAAAAAAGCUUGGGUUAUAGGAAAGCCUUUCCCUGCUACUUGUGUAGACCCAGCCCAAUUUAAGAAUUACAAGGAAGCGAAGGGGUUGUGUAGGCCGGAAGCCUCUCUGUCCCGGCUGGAUGCAGGGGACUUGAGCUGCUCCGGAAUUUGAGAGGAACAUAGAAGCAAAGGUCCAGCCUUUGCUUCGUGCUGAUUCCUAGACUUAAGAUUCAAAAACAAAUUUUUAAAAGUGAAACCAGCCCUAGCCUUUGGAAGCUCUUGAAGGUUCAGCACCCACCCAGGAAUCCACCUGCCUGUUACACGCCUCUCCAAGACACAGUGGCACCGCUUUUCUAACUGGCAGCACAGAGCAACUCUAUAAUAUGCUUAUAUUAGGUCUAGAAGAAUGCAUCUUGAGACACAUGGGUAACCUAAUUAUAUAAUGCUUGUUCCAUACAGGAGUGAUUAUGCAGUGGGACCCUGCUGCAAACGGGACUUUGCACUCUAAAUAUAGACCCCAGCUUGGGACAAAAGUUGCAGUAGAAAAAUAGACAUAGGAGAACACUUAAAUAAGUGAUGCAUGUAGACACAGAAGGGGUAUUUAAAAGACAGAAAUAAUAGAAGUACAGAAGAACAGAAAAAAAAUCAGCAGAUGGAGAUUACCAUUCCCAAUGCCUGAACUUCCUCCUGCUAUUAAGAUUGCUAGAGAAUUGUGUCUUAAACAGUUCAUGAACCCAGAAGAAUGCAAUUUCAAUGUAUUUAGUACACACACAGUAUGUAUAUAAACACAACUCACAGAAUAUAUUUUCCAUACAUUGGGUAGGUAUGCACUUUGUGUAUAUAUAAUAAUGUAUUUUCCAUGCAGUUUUAAAAUGUAGAUAUAUUAAUAUCUGGAUGCAUUUUCUGUGCACUGGUUUUAUAUGCCUUAUGGAGUAUAUACUCACAUGUAGCUAAAUAGACUCAGGACUGCACAUUCCUUGUGUAGGUUGUGUGUGUGUGGUGGUUUUAUGCAUAAAUAAAGUUUUACAUGUGGUGAAAAAA